rnacentral:pre_miRNA from 1 species
UCAUGAUUCUCUGGUUUUUGUGGAACAGCUCAUGCACAUUUUAUUCCAUGAGUUGUCCCACAAAGAACACAGAUCAAUGA